AUUGCUAAGCUUUAAGCUAAGUAUAAAAGCUAUGUUGAACUGAGGUGAACUUAGCAUGAUCAAUUGAAACAGUUGUAGAAAUCAGUGGUUAUUGAUACACGCAACAACAUAAUGCAGACUUCAGGAAUGCAUGUGUUUUGUUUCUUUGGAUCUUCCUUGUGUACAAAGGAUCUGGACUACAACAUUUUGUUGCAUGUAUUUUGUUCCCCUUGACAUUUCUCCAGAGUGUCAGGAAAGCCACUGGUGCCAAAGCCUGCUUUCCUCUUCCCAGCCUGCAGGGAUGCAGACAACAGUCACCUGUGGGCCCAGGGACUGACCAGAGAGGUGCAGACACAGCUUGACUAACGAGCACCAAUUAAAAAUCUGACCUGGUGCAACCUAGCACAGGGAGGAAGGGUGGAAAUUACAGGUGAGGAGCAAAAGGAAAGAAAGCUUUUGAACCCAGGGGCUGUGUUCCAGUGGGCACAAAGGAGUGGUGGAAUGUGGCUGAUGCUUACCUGUCCUCUCCGAGACAGAGUGAUCCUGAGGGUCACACCAGUGCCCUGGCUGCUCAUCUGAUCAGACUGAUUUGACAGAAACAGUUGACGAGGGAUGGAUGUACUCCCUUCCAGGCUGUGUUCAACCAGCACUGCAGUCUCCAGCUUGAUGUCUUAUGCUAUGCCAGCUCUAGAAAGGAAUUUGUCUUCAUCUUAUCAUUGCCUCUUGUGUGGAUGUGGUGGCUUGGCCUGGCUGCAGGUGCUGGAAUUCAGUAAAGUGGUGGAAGGUUUUAUAAUCUACAAAGCGGUGGUACCUGAUGCUUCAUUUGGAAUGCUAUAA
rnacentral:lncRNA from 1 species